rnacentral:rRNA from 1 species
UAAUACGUAGGGAGCAAGCGUUGUCCGGAAUCAUUGGGCGUAAAGAGCGCGUAGGCGGCCCUGUAAGUCCGUUCUGAAAGUCGGAGGCUCAACCUCCGAAAGCGGAUGGAUACUGCAGGGCUAGAGUCCGGAAGAGGCGAGUGGAAUUCCUGGUGUAGCGGUGGAAUGCGCAGAUAUCAGGAGGAACACCAACGGCGAAGGCAGCUCGCUGGGACGGUACUGACGCUGAGGCGCGAAAGCGUGGGGAG